CAAAUGGUGAAACUAACCUCCUCUACUGGACAAUGUUGGCAGUUUUGGGUCCCUUGGCUAGGACAAUAUUGUGGUGCCAACCAUUCUUUCUUGUCCUUUGCAGAAAAGCAACAAGUGAAAUGAUGUGUAUGCGUUGUUUGAAGGUUCAACCAGUUGGUCCAACUUGCAGGACACCUUCCUGUGCUGGAUUCUGGAUGGCGAAGUAUUAUUGCAAUAUCUGCAAGUUUUUUGAUGAUGAAAGAAAUGUGUACCACUGCCCAUUUUGCAACUUAUGUCGUGUUGGAAAAGGACUUGGCAUAGACUUCUUUCAUUGCAUGACAUGCAAUUGUUGCUUGGGUAUGAAAUUGAAGGAGCACAAGUGCCGAGAGAAAGGUCUAGAGACAAACUGUCCGAUUUGUUGUGAUUUUCUGUUUACAUCAAGUGCAGCUGUAAGAGCUCUGCGCAGUGGACAUUUCAUGCAUUCUGCAUGCUUCCAAGCGUACACUUGCAGUCAUUACACCUGCCCAAUUUGUAGCAAAUCCUUGGGAGACAUGGCCGUAAGUUAUCAGUAUUUCUUCCAAGAUUAAGCAUUUUUUUAUAUUUUUGUAAGCAUAGGUAGCUUCGAAGGAUUCAUUGUAUAUGUUGACUAUUUGCAAGAAAGAAAGGAAUGAUUUUGCAUCCACUCAAACAGAUGAAAUGACAAAUCCCAUAGGCAAAUAGGUGAUAAGAUUAUGACCUAUCCUUUCUUCAUUCUUUCCUUGUGUUAAACCUUAAAAAUCUCCAUGUUAUGUCUCUACAUGGUCAUUUAAUCCCUUUAAACAUACUAGUAUUUCUAAAAUGGUCGCAUCUUAACUCAUUCAGAAUUCUUAUUUGAUUUGAUCAUCUGAUUCAAUUUAAGGAUCUCCAUAAAAGUUAUCAAUUUCUCUAGUAUUCUAUAACUGACUAUUUUAGUCCCUUGUCUGAAACUGAUUCUGCUUCAGAUUAGACACAAAUUUCUGAACCCUUACUUUUUGGGAUCACCAAGUUCAAUCACUGAUCCUGAGUUGA